UGGGGAAUAUUGGACAAUGGGGGCAACCCUGAUCCAGCCAUGCCGCGUGAGUGAUGAAGGCCUUCGGGUUGUAAAGCUCUUUUGGCGGGGACGAUGAUGACGGUACCCGCAGAAUAAGCCCCGGCUAACUUCGUGCCAGCAGCCGCGGUAAGACGAAGGGGGCUAGCGUUGUUCGGAAUUACUGGGCGUAAAGCGAGUGUAGGCGGUUGCCGUAGUCAGGUGUGAAAGCCUUGAGCUCAACUCAAGAAAUGCACUUGAUACUGGGUGACUAGAGGACCGGAGAGGAUAGUGGAAUUCCCAGUGUAGUGGUGAAAUACGUAGAGAUUGGGAAGAACACCAGUGGCGAAGGCGGCUAUCUGGACGGUUACUGACGCUAAGACUCGAAAGCGUGGGGAGCAAACAGGAUUAGAUACCCUGGUAGUCCACGCCGUAAAACGAUGGGUGCUAGACGUUGGCGAGCUUGCUCGUCAGUGUCGCAGCUAACGCGUUAAGCACCCCGCCUGGGGAGUACGGCCGCAAGGUUGAAAACUUAAAUGAAAUUGACGGGGGUCAUAGCUGUUUCCU
rnacentral:rRNA from 1 species